rnacentral:lncRNA from 1 species
UCUCUUGUGCACUCUGACAUCAAGUGAGUACCAUUGUUCAACUUCGGUCCAGAUGCUGGAGCCUAAGUAAGCUGAGAGUAACUUGAGUUGGCCUUGAUGUGAUAAAACAAACUUGCCUUAAGCUUGGCUUGUUUUUGUAUGUAAAAUCAUAAGGCCCAAGCAAAAAUAUAUAAGUAAUUCUUUAUGCACCGUAUGCAGUAUAAUAGGAGCACA